rnacentral:rRNA from 1 species
AACGAACGCUGGCGGCAGGCCUAACACAUGCAAGUCGAGCGAGGACUUCGGUUCUAGCGGCGGACGUGGGGGUACCACGUGGGGAUGUGCCCUUCUCUACGCAAUAGCUCUGGGAAAGUGGGAGUAAUACCACUUAGGCCAUAACCGGGAAGGAUUUAUCGGAGAAGGCUCAGCCCGCGUUGGAUUAGGUGGUUGGUGGGGUAAUGGCCGCUCAUGCGGACGAUGCAUAGCUGGUUGGAGACGAAGACCAGCCGGACUUGAACUGAGACACGGCCCAGACUCCUACGGGAGGGAGCAGUAGGGAAUCUUAGACAAUGGAGGCAAACGUGAUCUAGCCAUGCGGGGGAAGUGAUGAAGGCCUUAGGGUUGUAAAGCUGUUUCAGCUGGGAAGUUAAUGACGGUACCGGCAGAAGAAGCCCCGGCUAACUCCGUG